rnacentral:lncRNA from 1 species
CAUGGGUGUGGAUCCAUCAUGAAUAAAUUAAUGCCUUUGCUGUUGGUGGGGGCAGGGAGCAUGGUACAGGGGUGACUGAGUUCCUGCUUUGUUAGUUCCCACUGAAACUGAUUGACAAAAAGGGCCUGGCACCUCUCUCUUCUCUCUCUUUCUCUCUCUCACCAUGUGAUCUAUGCAUGCCUGUUCCCGUCUGCUUGCACUAAGAAUGGAAACAGCCUAAGUUCCUCACCAGAAGCAGAGGCUGGCACCAUGUUUGUUAUGCAGCCUGCAGAACCGCUGGGGACAGCUCUCUGAAAAUAGGAAUAAAUAGUGGCUCCUCGAUAAACACCUUCUUGCCUACAGCAUGUGUGACUGCAAACACAUUCCCACUUCAACUAAUCCAAGACGAGAAGGAUGACAAAAUAAGAGAAAUCAUGGGAAAAACUGCCCAUUUCUGUUUUGUCCACUUUGCUUUGGGAAGUGAGAGCUAUAGUCAUUAUCACCACAUCCCCUGGCAUCCAAUUCCACAUUCUACCUCAGAAGUUAUUUGGAGGAAUCCAAGGACUUAGAUAUUUUACCAAUGUCUCUGGUGAUUUUUAUAUCGGUGGCCCAUGGGUGUUGACCUAUGAAACUGCUCUGCAGCAGAUAUUGAGAAAUAGGAGUUCAGGAUUAAUAAUUCAAUUCCAGCUUUCCUGGAAGCCAGAAGUCAAAAUAUACUUGGGAUUUCUAUAAAUAUUUUUUAAUUAUGACCAUCGAACUCCAAGUACUUCAGAUUUGGAACUCGGACUGCUUUCCUUGCUCCUCAGCCUGCAGAUGGCCUAUUGUGGGACCUUGUGAUUAUGUAGUGAGACGAGCAUGAGUGGAGCAGGAGACGGCUGUCCCCCACCCACAAGGAAUAUCAGAUGAUGGUUCAGCGAUCAUCACAUUGCCUCUCUGAAAGUGAUAAAUUGGCAGCUGGCACCAGGGAGAGGCUAUUUCCUGAUGGCCCACACCUGUUGCACUAAGAUGUUAAUCGAAUGCAGAUUCCAGGGAGAAACAACUUCCUGGGCAUGUGCGUAAGAGACAAAAUGGCAGUAAAAAUUAGAGAAUGAGAUCAGAAUAUGGAUACAUUGCAAGAGGUGGAGCCCUGGAACAAAAGUAAGAGCUGAGGACUAUCCUGAUCAAAUAUGCAUACUUCAAAGAUUGCUUCAAUGGACCGAAUGGAAGGAAGAGGUUGCUGAUACCAUGGAAAUCAGUUAAAAGGCUCAUGAAAGAAUGCAAACAAAAAGUUUUUUCAACUGAAUUUGUCCUGCUCUACACCUCUUCCUCCACCCCUCCAAAAUAAAACAAGAUAAUACUGCCAAAUCUUGGAUAAGUAUUAUUCUUUCUAUUAUAAUCCAGAGGAGAUCAAACGCAGUUAGGCUAAAGAGAUUUAAAAAGUUUAUCCAUGUAAUUUAUGGCAAGAUGAAUAGCACAGUAACCUUGGCUGAAUCAGUACGUAGAGCACCAAGCUGAAUUUCGAAAGGAUAACAAAUGGAAGCAGAAACCACCCUGUAAUCGAAGCUACUAAGUUCAAAAUUGGCCUGAGGAAUUUCACCUGCUGUUGUGGACUUAUUUAACAGAUAUAAAAACAAAAGUUGAGUCCGGUUCUGGAAGUAAAGGGUGAGUCCAAGAAAUCCCUGAAUGGAUCCACCAUCUCUGGCCUAAUCAAUGUCACCAUGAAGGGGACCUGCAGGCAUUAGAGUGGGUCUUAGUCAUCAUCUCCAUGACUGAGCGGUGAAGAAGGAACCCAGGUGCCACUCAUUAUUGGAUCUCUCUCAGUCUCAGAAAAUAAGCUUUGCACCCGGGGCAGAGAUGAGGAGCAGAUAAAGUAGCAGCUCCCAGUGACCUCAAAUCCACAGAAUCUUUCAGUUACGUGUACUGUAAGAAAUAUUUAAGAUAUAAUUAACUGAAACACACUAAGAAAGAUACUAUGUGCAGUAGAUUGUUAUAAAGAAGGUAAACCAGGAAGCAACUCUGUGGUUUAUGAGGUGGAAAGGCUUGAGGUUUGAUGUCGUUAAAGGGAAUUAAGUACAGAGGCCACAAAUGUUACAGGUGGUGCUGCAGUUGAAGGCAGAAAAUAUGCAGCGAUCAUAACUCUAAUACAUAUUACCCACAACAGAUUACCUCCAAAAUGGUGACAGUCAGGCCACCUCCAAAAUGAUGAGUCAGGAAAAGAUGAAGUUAGAGAGCUCUCCUUGAAAGCAACCCAGUAGCUUCUUUCUUAUUAAAUGAGAAAAUACUAUUACUCUCUAUCACUAUAUGUUAAGCUUCCCUGAGCUGAGAACACUGACAGCCAUGGCUAAGGUACAGGAGGUAGACCAAUGAGACAGAACAUGCACUAGGAAUGAAGAUGAACACUUUGAAGAGGACCAGCUUACCAAUGACAGCUUAGAGAUACCAUCAGUAAAGAGGGUAAGAAAAAAUCAGACAACAAAACCCAGGAAAAACAGCUACCUCAAUUUUGGUACUGCUAUCCUUUUAAUUACCUACCCAAACACAAGAAAAUUGAUAAAGAGGGGAAAUCUAGCAUAUUACUCAUCUGAAAACAAAAUCCCUUAUCACAGAAAAUCUUAAACUCUUGCUACACAAAGUGUAAUUCAGGGACAAGCAGCAGCGCCAUCUCAUAGAACCUUGUUAGACAUACAGAAACUGAAACCCCACCUCAAAUCUACUAAGUCAGAAUCCUCACUUUUACAGUUUUCUCAGUUGUACACAUUAGGGUUAAGUAGCACUCCCUUAAAUCACAAUAAGCCUGCUACAGACUGAAUAUUUGCAUUCCUCCAAAAUUUAUAUGUUGAAAUCUAACUCCCAGU